rnacentral:tRNA from 2 species
AGCGGGAAUAGCUCAGUGGUAGAGCACAACCUUGCCAAGGUUGGGGUCGCGAGUUCGAGCCUCGUUUCCCGC